GACGAACGCUGGCGGCGUGCCUAACACAUGCAAGUCGAGCGAAUGAAACUCCUUCGGGAGUGGAUUUAGCGGCGGACGGGUGAGUAACACGUGGGCAACCUGCCUCAUAGAGGGGAAUAGCCUUUCGAAAGGAAGAUUAAUACCCCAUAAGAUUGUAGAUUCGCAUGAAUUAGCAAUUAAAGGAGCAAUCCGCUAUGAGAUGGGCCCGCGUCGCAUUAGCUAGUUGGUAAGGUAAUGGCUUACCAAGGCGACGAUGCGUAGCCGACCUGAGAGGGUGAUCGGCCACAUUGGGACUGAGACACGGCCCAGACUCCUACGGGAGGCAGCAGUGGGGAAUAUUGCACAAUGGGGGAAACCCUGAUGCAGCAACGCCGCGUGAGUGAUGACGGUCUUCGGAUUGUAAAACUCUGUCUUUCAGGGACGAUAAUGACGGUACCUGAGGAGGAAGCCACGGCUAACUACGUGCCAGCCGCCGCGGUAA
rnacentral:rRNA from 1 species